rnacentral:misc_RNA from 1 species
GAUGAAGAACGUAGCGAAAUGCGAUAAGUAAUGUGAAUUGCAGAAUUCCGUGAAUCAUCGAAUCUUUGAACGCACAUUGCGCCUCCUGGUAGUCCGGGAGGCAUGCCUGUUCGAGCGUCACCAAAUCCAACUCAAGCGGUUUUGCGCUUGGUCGUGGCGGAAGAGUCGGUCUGGUUGCCGUCUCCCCUCCGAAAAUCAACGGCGGAAAGUCACUGGAAGUCAGCGUAGUAGUAUCGUUCGCCGAACAUCCAGUGGCAUUCCUGCCGACGUACCCCCACAAUUCUCGUGAUUGACCUCGGAUCAGGUAGGGAUACCCGCUGAACUUAAGCAUAUCAAUAAGCGGAGGA